AGGGACGAGAGAGAGAGUUGUGGUUGUGGCACUGGAAGCAGCGGCCAUUGAAGAGAAAUCGAUUGACGAAAUUGGUUUUCAACAAAGGUUUUCGGUCUUAUCGUUCAUUUUUUCCUCGCUUGCCUUGCCUGGUUAGUGUAGUAUCUCCUCCAGAGAGAAAGAGAAAGAGAAAGAGAGCCAUAAAUUGAUUGAGAUUUUUUGUCAAAUACAUCAUGCGGUGAAACCUAUUACGCCCGUAUUACAUCAUCUGUCUUAUCAAAUAGGACGCGAAAGCAAUAUAUGUGGGGCAGAAUGGCUGUCCCCAGUGGCUCUAAAGCAAUAUGUACCCAGUGGCUCCAAGGCAAUGUCGAGUUGUUGUCAGAAGAAUCACUGGUUACAAAGAGUCUGGGCUUGGAAGGCUUUACUUAUCACACUAAAAAAUCUUUUGCAGCUUCACUCUGUUUUCGCACCUCCAUAAAGAUUAGGAUCUGUUUGAUAGUAGACAACAUCUCCAGUAUCAUUUACAUAGUGAUCUUGUUUCAUGCUUCUUAUAAGACUUCCCAGUAAGUGAAAUGGAAAAGGUCCAGAUUUCUUUGGUUCCCUGUAGUAUUUCCCUAGCACAGGCUUAGCUGCUUCAGUCUGUAAAAGGUAAGUGUGGAAUCACUAGAACCAGAAGAAAAUGAACUGCAAAAUUAAGUAAUAAUUAAGGAAAAAGUUUAUAUUUACUGCUUCAAUUAAGUGGUAGUGUGGGAUUUGAGGGAAGAGAUGAUGAAUCACAUGAGUGCCAAUAUCAUGGUGGAUGUUGUUUAUCCAUCCAUAGUCUCUAUCAAGAGUACUAAGCCCUCCUCUCAGAUAACUCCAUUCCUUUCCACGAUACCAGGGAAGUUUGUCUUCAUGACCAUGGUGAUGCAAAUACGUUACAAAGUCCAACCACAUGACAAAAAUCCAGUAGGGAAUGCCAUAGAGUUUAAGCAUUUGGACAGGACCCAUUGCAAAGUUUAAGCACACAAGCAAUGCAGCCAUUGCUGUCCAACAGGCUGUUGAGGUAAGAAUCUCUUUUCUCUCAUUUGGGACAAACAAAUCACUGUCUGGAUGAAAAUGAGAACCCUUUUUUCCAGGGCUUCUACUCCACAGAUAGAAAGGGUAGGCAAGCAUGGGGAAAGGCAAAGUGAACCUCAAUGUCUUUGUGGCAUUAUCCAAACUGUUGAAGAUUUUCCUAGACAAUGGAUGCCAUGAUUCAUCAUUUUCAACAUGUCCAUGCUUUUGAUGAUGGGUUCUGUGGCUAAUUCUCCAUCCAUGGUAAGGAACAAGGAUUGUAGAAUGAAGGAGAUGACCCACAACACUAUUCAGCUUUGGAUUAUUUGAGAAGCUUCCAUGACCACAAUCAUGGCCAAGAACAAAAAGAGCCCAGAACAUGGUCCCUUGACAAAACCAGUAAAGAGGCCAAACAACCCAAUUGUUGAAGUAAGCAGCAACAGCAGCCAAUCCAAAAACCAAAGCCACAUCUCUCACAACGUAGCUCACAGAUCUCCAUGGAUCUUUAACCCAACAAUGUUUUGGUAUGGCUGCUCUUAUAUCAGCCAAUUUAAAAGGUGGCGGAGCACCUGGGUCAAAGAAUUCACCUUCCUCCUCAUUAACUCCAGUAAUUUCCUCUCUUUCUUUAUCCUCCUCUCCGCCCACAGUUUUAACAUUUACAGGAGCUGCAACAUUUAAUGCCCAGUUCCUCUUUUUAUACCAAUUUGAGACCUUGAAAGAACCAAGAUUCUGGCUUUUUGAGACUGGUAAUGGUCUGAGCUUGAAAAAAUUGGUGUUCUUUGAUGCAAAGCCAGUACUGGGUUGAGGGUAAAUUCUAGGGAGGGGUCUUAUGCCACAUUCGGAUAAAACCCAGGAAGCAGCCAUUGAAGAACCAGAUACUGAUAAUGCAAGUAUCCACCCACACCCAGUCUAUGGAUUAUAAAAAGAAAGAAAAAGGUAAGUACCCAAAAUUGGAAAUAAAGAAGAGGAAGAGAUAACACAUGGAAGGACUCUGAUUAAAAAAAAAAAGAUAACACAAGGAUUUCUCUCCUCCACUGUCUUGUCUACCUCUAUCUGUAUGCAGUACAUUUAUACAUGUAUAUAUAACCGCGUUUCUCUCUCUGUCUCUCUCUCUACCCUAUGCUCCUCUGGUAAUAUGGUGGUGCGUGGUGCUGGCUAAGUGGCUUUCCUGUACGUCAGUACGUGAGCCUAACAAUUUGGC
rnacentral:misc_RNA from 1 species